rnacentral:tRNA from 1 species
UGGCUCAAUUGGUAGUGCAUGGUGUUUGCAACGCCAGGGUUGUGGGUUCGAUUCCCAC